CUUGAAACACCAAACAUUGCAAAGGGAAAAGAUUAUAAAAUCAAAUAUAUGUUUCUCGUGUUCAAACUGAAAAGAUAACAAGGUUGGUUAUGUUAAAAAUCACGACUCUCAACAAUGGUAUCAUAUUGCCCACUUUAAGCAUAAGCUCUCAUGGCUUUGCUUUUGGUUUUCCC